AGCACACCGUGUUUUAGUUAGCAAUGUCAUUACAACAAAAAUAGUCUAUAGCAACACUUUUAAAUAUCGAUACAGCUCAAAAAAAGUGCUGCUGACUAAAUUAUCAACACUUUUAAAAAGUGUUACUAUAUGUGGGGUCGCUAGAUAUAUAGUGACAAUUAAAGAGUGUCGCUAUAACAUAAAAAGAGUUGUGCUAAUUUGGCAACACUUAUUUAAACAUCUAGCAACUGUCGGAACUCUACCUCGUUGGCUGCGGUGGCGCAGGAGGACAAGAGGGAAUGGCCCUUCGUCUAGGAUUUCAGUGGAUUGUGUGAGAGGAGAAGGAGAGAUGGUAAUCGAUUUUUCUUCCUUUUUUUUUUCCUAUUUGUAAUCGGACCAAAUGGGCUAGGUUGGGUGGGUUGAGUAGAGUAACCUUUUAUUUUUUAUUGGAUUCGGCUUUAUAUUUAGGUAUUAGUAGAUAUUUUUUAAAAUUUUGGCAUAAAUGGGACACUUAGAUAAAAGUGUUCCAAAAAUGUGUCCCUAUAACCUAAUUCUGUUGUAGUGCGUACAUAUUAGCUGUACCCAUAUUUAUGAAUCAAUUAUGUGUAAAGAAUAAUAUAAUU
rnacentral:lncRNA from 1 species